GACGAACGCUGGCGGCGUGCUUAACACAUGCAAGUCGAACGAAGAGCGAUGGAAGCUUGCUUCUAUCAAUCUUAGUGGCGUACGGGUGAGUAACGCGUAAUCAACCUGCCCUUCAGAGGGGGACAACAGUUGGAAACGACUGCUAAUACCGCAUACGAUCUAAUCUCGGCAUCGAGGAUAGAUGAAAGGUGGCCUCUACCUGUAAGCUAUCACUGAAGGAGGGGAUUGCGUCUGAUUAGCUAGUUGGAGGGGUAACGGCCCACCAAGGCGAUGAUCAGUAGCCGGUCUGAGAGGAUGAACGGCCACAUUGGGACUGAGACACGGCCCAGACUCCUACGGGAGGCAGCAGUGGGGAAUCUUCCGCAAUGGACGAAAGUCUGACGGAGCAACGCCGCGUGAGUGAUGACGGCCUUCGGGUUGUAAAGCUCUGUUAAUCGGGACGAAAGGCCUUCUUGCGAAUAGUGAGAAGGAUUGACGGUACCGGAAUAGAAAGCCACGGCUAACUACGUG
rnacentral:rRNA from 1 species